rnacentral:lncRNA from 1 species
UUUCUUAUGAAUUAUUUGUUUCCUUUCCCUUGCCCUUGUUUGUGUGGCUUUUUUUCUUCCCAAAACUGGCCAGUCUAAAUGAUUUCAAAAGAACUCUUGCAACUCUUUCAACUGUUUUCUUAAACUCUUUCAACUCUUUCAACUCUUUUCUCAAAACGUCUCUCAACUGUUUUCAAUUCUAUCACAAUCUCACUACUCUUAGAAAUUAGGUUCUGCCCCCUUAGUGUAAGCAUUACCUUGGGAGCCCUGAGCAUCCACUGAACUUUGAUGCACAAGGCUGGCAAUUCUAUACUUGCACUUGUCUAAUUAUGAUAUUUUGGGUGCUUGGUAUUGUAAGCAUGUGAUUUUUGCC